CAUGUGUGGGAAUUGGUUUGAAUGAGGUUCUAGGGUAGCAGUCUGCUAAUCGCGUGACCCUUUCGUGUUAAAGCCUUCAUUCCUCUUCCCUGGUAAGUAACUUAAUGAAAAAGCCAGACUGGCAUGUAGGCAGCCGGUGCUUUAAAAACAAUCCCUUUGUAGCAUUUUUGCAGUACUUUUCAUCCAGCGAAUACAGGUAAGGAGUGCAAACAUUUAGGUCAACGUCCCCAAAACAAGGAAGAAGAGUGAUCUCACUUUACAGCCAAGUAAGCCGAAGCAACAAGAAUUGCUUGCCUGAAGUUGAACUUAGAUAAUUAAGGAACGCAGAAGUUCUUUGGAAAUUUAAAAUUCAGACGGAGGAACUUCAAGCAUGGGUGGAGACAGAGCACCCCUUCCCCACCUGACCUUUUACCAAUGUAGAGGAAAAGAUUUAUUUUCUGAACACAUGAGUUAAAAAAUUCUUAACAUACAAUGUGUUCAGCGUUGUCAAGUUUAUCGUUGUUGAAUAAAAGGAGUAUGUUUUCUGCUGUAAAAAUGGUUUGAUGGUACGUUCAUGAAUGAGUUACCAAAGCGCUCCUGUUCCAUUCUGUAAGAAAAGGGUGAACUUUAAAUUUUCGUUUUUUUCUUUUCGUUUGCUUUUAUGUCGUUUGCUUGGUUCUAUUCUGGGGAGGUAAGUUUUAAAAUCUUUGAUUGAAAGUUUAUGCAAGUUUUUUUUUUAACGGAAAAUUUACCCGUCCUUUCCUGCUGUCAUUCCUAUUUGAAUGUAUACACUUAGGCUUUUAUGGAACAGCACUUCUGAAAGCUUCAACCGUUUCUUUUAUCCUGGAAAGGAUUUGGUCCCGUAAUAGGGAUUUGGGGGACUGUAUUCUGAUGGUUUCAGAGAGGAGAAACAUAUUUACUAGUCAUAAUGUUUCGGGAAUGUACCUUUUGCGAUAUUUUUACAUGUACUCUUGUGAAAAAGUUGUGCUCAGUUUGAGGUGAGAACUUGCCUUUCGUAAUAAUCUAAUUAAAAUUAUUGAUUGCUUGUGAAAUCAGGGAAAAAAUGGUUAAUUUUAAUCAUUUUGAUAGGCAGGUGGUUGUCUGUCACUUAAUUUUUAUAAUUUAACUUUUUAAAAUGUGACUUUCCUGUUGUACUGAAGUAGAGAACACAUCUGCUUAUAUUGACCAUAUCCAAUUUACUGUCAAUAUUGACAAAAGGAUUAAAUGAUUCAUUUUUAAUUCUUUAUGACGUCUUGAAAGUAGUUCUAAAAUAUAUCCUGCCAUUUCAGUACAUAAGGAGAAAAAUCCCUAGGAAAAAGCAUAUUUGAUUCUUAAAACUAGUACUAGUUUUUUUUUUCUACUUGUUUGAUGUGCUGAAUACUCUAGCAAGUAAAAUGAAAGCCAAGUUGUCUAUUUUUUCCCUUGUGUAUUUAUUUUUACUUUGUAUGUGUGAUUGCUGUCAUAAGUCUUUCACAAGAUUAUCCAGCACAGAUAGCUAUAAUUUCUUUUUACAACUCAUGAAAAGGAAAAAGUACCUUUUAUCAACAUUGCCUUUCUAAUGAAAAUUGCAAAAGAUUUCAACAGGGUCUGCCUAAACAUUUGUUUACACUACAGAAGUGGGGAUCGUUCCAAAAACCUAAUAACACAUUACAGUCUGUCUUCUUGGGGAGAGUUGAUUCUUUUCUAGGGUAUAUUUAGAUUUCUGAUUGACAUGAUGGAAUAGAAGUGCAGCUGUAGCAAGCAGUAUGCUAAAUAAUUCAACUAUGGAAUGUGCUAAAUUCAGUUUAAUGUGUGAGUCAGAAAGCUAUAGUGAAAAAGCAUUUCCAUUGUGUAAUGAAGAUGAUUUAUUUGUUUUUAAAAAUCAUAUAUUGACGUGUUACCUUAAAUUUAAAAAUUUACCUUUUUUUCUUGUAUUAUGCUGUUCUUAAAAGUGGAUAAGAAUCUACAUUUUCGCCCAAGAAUUCUCCCUAAUUGGGGUCGUAGACUUUAUACAUUUAUAAUCUCAUAUUGCUUAAUUAUUCCAAAGAAGUUUUGUUUUGAGAGAUUACAUUUUUAAAGAAAUUCUUAAGGUUUAUGUGUUUUAGGUGUUUGAAGUGUGUUUCUAUACACUAAUCAUAAUAGAUAGGACAUUUUUAUACUUUUCUGUCAGCAUUGAUUAGGAAUGUAGAAUAUAUCCAAAUGGAAUAAGUAAUGUACAUUUUAAAGUGGUAUGAUUCUCACAUGUUGAAGUUUGGGUUUUUAGUGAUAAGUGUAAUGAAUUAGACUUUGCUUCAGGACAUUUCACUUGUUCAUUUCCCACCUUUAUCUUGUCUGAGCAAAUUCAGCAUUCUGAGAUAGUUCUGUAAAAUGCAUGUUAAAGUUGAACUAAUGUUAUCAUCAGUAAAUCUAUGAAAUAACUUAUCUAAAUUUUUUUUUCUGUUUUGCUUAUUUUGAGUUUAAGAAAGUAGACUUGGUAUUGAAGACCAUAGAUACAUGAAUAGAGGGAGUUCUAAGCUAUAAAAGGUGUUCCUGUUUUGUUGCAGUUUUUUGUGAACACGAGCAGUUCUGGCAUAAGUCCAUGGACCACAGUUUGAGAACCUUUGCUCUAAAGUCUAAACCACAGUCUCUGUUGGAAAGUGGACGUAAGUAGUAAAUAAUCGUUUAUACAGAUAUUUUUUCCGAAGGGACACAUCUAAUUUGCACUGCAAAAUUUAUCACAUAAUCAAAUGCUUUUCAAGUUAGGAUUUUAUUAAUACUUUUCUUAAAAUUAAUAUAUCUUUUGUUUCCGUUUUCCUUCUGCUACCCCACAAUUACUUACUGAAUACUACCAAGUAUUUGGCAUCGUGCUAGAUACUACUAAGGAUAUUAAGGUAAAUGAUACUCAAUUCCUUCUCUGCCAUUAGUCUCUCAUUGUUGUCCAAGAUUUCCAGUAGUGACACCAUGGAGGACAUGGUUCUUAAGGGUCUUCAGAAACCUUUGCCAGGCUAAUGAGCCAAGAAAUCACUUUGGCCUACAUCCUCUUAAUGUAUUUUAUGUGAAAUACAUUAGUUGCUUCCUUCCCACAAACAAAAGAAAAUGGAGAAAUUAGAGAAUGCUGAUUUAUAUAUUUAAAAGGUACUGUAUAUCACAUAAUUUUAAAAAUGAAAAACAUGUUUUAUGCAUAUGAAGUAUAAAGUGAUUCACAUAAAUUCAUGUUAUGACAGAACCUUUCAGGAAUACAUCACUUUGUAAAAUAAGAUAAGCCUAUAUGAAGGUUAUUGUUGCUUGGAAGAAAUUUUUACUUUUUUUUUGUUUUUUGAAUAGCUGUCUUGUUAGCAUCUGUCUUUUAAGCUGAAAAAUGUCCUAAGUAUUUUUUCUCCUAAUGUACACCAUGGACUUUUCUGGUUGUAGUUUUGAGAUACACGGCAUAGGGUGACAGAUAGUGAUGUGUGUUAGUUUUACUCACAAAUGUUUAAAAAAAUAUUUUCUGUUUUAGAAAGAUGAGAUCCUUAGAAAUAGGGCCAUGAAUAGUGCAUAAGGUCUCUUUGUACAAAUUAGAAAAAGGCACUCCUUCCUUAAAAAGUAUUACUACUGUCUGCCAGAAAAAGUAUCACAGUAAACAUACGAAUUUAUGGUAUUUACAAUUAAGAAUGGCCCUCUAGUAUGUUGUGUACUGAACAGCCUACCUAACUGUAUGUAAAUGGUGGCCCUGCUUGGGAGCCAUUUCCUUUAUCCUUUAAUAUUCUCUUUGUGUAAAAUGGGAAUGAUAACUAAUACAUGAUAGCAAAUGAUGUAAAAUAUCUCUCUAUUUAGAAGGUAUUAUGUCCAGUUAUUGAUAUCUGUUAGCCAAAUGUGUUUAAAAUUAAAGUCAAUGAAAUUUUUGAAA